GACAGAGGUGCCAAGCGUUAGGCGGAAUCACUGGGCUUAAAGCGUGUGUAGGCGGAAUGGUAAGUACCUUGUGAAAUCCCACGGCUCAACUGUGGAACUGCUUGGUAUACUGCUUUUCUUGAGCCACUUAGGGGCAACCGGAACAAACGGUGGAGCGGUGAAAUGCGUAGAUAUCGUUUGGAACGCCAAUGGUGAAAACAGGUUGCUGGGAGUGUGCUGACGCUGAGACACGAAAGCCAGGGGAGCAAACGGG
rnacentral:rRNA from 1 species